rnacentral:lncRNA from 1 species
CUUGCAUCUCACCUGUUCUUGCAGUGACAAAGUUCCAUAACCUUAAAGUUUUAUCGUGGAACAUCGUGCUGCCAUCUGGGAAGAAAAACACGAUGGUACAGGAGCAGCUGCUCCACCUGUCCUUGAAGUGAGGAAUUAUAUUUGCUGCAUUUAUUGAGGUUGACAAGAACCACCCAGCAAGUGUUUGUGAUGUUUGGCUGUUAACUCCGUAAAUGGUUCCAAUGGGCUGAAUUCUGAUGGCCUUUCUCUCAAUG